AGGAGGAGAAAAGAGCAUGCGCGUAGUGCCUUUUACCCUCCACCUCCCUAUCUCCCUACCUCCGUGUAUUCCUCCUCCCCCUCGUCCUCCUACUCCUCCUCCUCCUCCUCCUCCUGUGCUCUCAUUCCCUUCCCUUCCCGCAUUCCUGGCCGGCCGUGCUUCGCUGUGGCCGCUGUGGUGGUGCUGUGUGGCGUCUGCCACCAGCACACGCACGCACGCACACGCACACGAAAUAGACAGAUGAACCCACGCAUAAUACAUGAACGUUGAUCACGAUAAGAGACGAGAACUGAACGAAGGGAAACCAAGCAAAACACAACACAC